UUUUUUUUUUUUUUUUUUGAGACGGAGUCUCGCUCUGUCACCAGGCUGGAGUGCAGUGGCGCGAUCUUGGCUCACUGCAAGUUCCGCCUCCCGGGUUCACGCCAUUCUCCUGCCUCAGCCUCCCGAGUAGCUGGGACUACAGGCGCCCGCCACCAUGCCCGACUAAUUUUUUUGUAUUUUUAGUAGAGACGAGGUUUCACCGGAUUAGCGAGGAUGGUCUCAAUCUCCUGACCUUGUGAUCCACCCGCCUCAGCCUCCCAAAGUGCUGGGAUUAUGGGCUUGAGCCACCGCGCCCAGCUAGACUUUUUUCUAAUAGAGUCCCCCAUAAAUUUUAUUACCAUAGAUACGCUGUGUAUGUACUGUUUCUGUGCUUUGUACAUGAAAAGAGUAAAAUGUUUUUGUUUUUGUUUUGGAGACAGUCUCACUCUGUUACCUGGGCUGGAGUGCAAUGGCAUGAUCUCAGCUCACUGCAAUCUCUGCCUCCUGGGUUCAAGCGAUUCUCUUGCUUCAGCCUCCUGAGUAGCUGGGAUUACAGGCGGCCACCACCACCCCUGGCUAAUUUUUGUAUUUUUAGUAGAGGUUUCACCACGUUGAUCAGGCUGGUCUCAAACUCCUGACCUCGUGGUCUGCCUGCCUUGGCCUCCCAAAGUGCUGGGAUUACAGGCGUGAGCCACCAUGCCCAACCAAUUUUUUUUUUUUAAAUCCUUGGUAGUGAUUGACCCCCAUUGAGAAUGCAUGCUCUAAUAUUUUUUAAAAGGGAAGAAGACCUAGUGAUAGACCUUUGCAUUGGCAGGCAUGUCUUUAUGUUUAUACAGUGAAGUAGUAUUUUUUCUGUCAGGGUCAAUAGAAAGUAGACGAAAUUCAUUUUCAGCCAAUCUUUCACCAGUUGUGCUUUGUUCCUUACCCCACCACAGGCAACAGACAAAGCAUUUCCUGCUGUCUUUCAAGGUCUUAACAGAUUCUUUCUUGAUUAUAAAUGUAUUACUAAGUAGAAUCAUUUGGGUUCUUUCUAUAAAAAUCAGUGAAAAUCCUCUAGAUGAAUGAAUUAAAGUUGUAGGCAUAACACUGAUAAACCUCUGCUCUCAUACUGAAGUAGGCUGCUUGCAGGAACUGACAACUAUUGGUUGGCUUUAAAUGUAAUGUAGAUGCCAAAGUUUUAGUGUACAGUGUUACUUAAAUUACCAAAUUACCUUUGUACAAAUAUUCCUCAGAUGCUGUCUACAGGUGCCAUAUAAAAUAGGUUGAUAAGUAUUUGCAAAUUCUGGUAAAUUGCCUUGCUAUGAUUUUUCAUGCUCAGUAUUAGUCCUCUAGUAUCAAUACGAAGUUUUUCUAUUCCCCAGCCUACUAAGGCCUACAGGUUAAAAUACCAGGAAUAAAAAGGUUUUCAGUGGACUUGAUUUAAGUGGAAUCUGGAUGAUGUGACAAGUACCUUUGUCUUUGGAGUAAUGAGUUUAUAAUUGGCUUUUGUCCAAAAACUCUUAAGUGGAUUAAUAUCUGAACAAUCUUAGACAUAAUUAUAUGAAACUGGAUCAGAAAGGCUUUCUGACUCCUUUCUCUUCACUUUUUUCUCCCAGCUUAACUAGAGGCAAUUAACAGUCAUUUCAAAUCUAAUUAUUUUUAUUUUCCAGUGUACUUAUCAUCCUUUCAUCUUUAUGCUAGGAGUAUAGUCUCAGUUCUUAAUGAGUUGAUGGGAUGAAGAUAUAGAUAGAUAGAUAGAUAGAUAGAUAGAUAGAUAUUUUUUUUUUUUUUUUUUUUUUUUUUUUUUUUUUUGAGACAGAGUCUCGCUCUGUCGCCCAGGCGGGAGUGCAGUGGCACAAUCUCGGCUCACUGCAAGCUCCGCCUUGGGGGUUCACACCAUUCUCCUGUCUCAGCCUCCUAGCUGGGAUUACAGGCGCCCACCAACCAAGCCCGGCUAAGGUAUUUUUAAAUGUACUCAAUCACUGUCAUUUUAGUAACCUUGAAUCAGAACCUCAGUUGUUAAAGGCUUAACUGCUUGUGGCAACUACUAUAGUGCUCUAGUGGGGACAGUGGUUAAAAUCUGCAGAAUCCCUUGCUUUGUCAUCUUAUCCAGAAGGACUGAUAGCUUGUUAAACUGUGGUAUGAUUAGAAUGUUGGUGGUUGUGUAGUGCAUUUGGGGUGCUACAACGUUAAUCAAAUAUAAUUGAGCUGUUCUGUUUCCAGUCAGUGUAACCAUUUAAAAAUACCUUGGCAAAACAAGCUAGGAGCUAGUUCAUGCUAAUAUUCUUAAGGACAAAAAUAGUUUACAGCUUUUUUUUUUUUAAUCUGAAAUCCUGAAGGCUAUGCUUAAAAGUUAGAGAUAAACCUGUUGGAAAUAAGUGAUUCAUUUAUAGACUGAAGCCUCUAUGACUUCAAAAAGAUACUCAACAGUCUCUGGCAUUUGAAGAACAAAAUAUUUUCUCUGUAAAUACACCUCAUUUCCAUUCUAGUUAGGAGCAAUGGCGCCCAGGACGGCACACAGAAUGGAGAAAACUGGAUAGCUGGUAACUCAUUUAGCUCUUGGCACUCUAAAAAACCUCAAAUACAGCCAUCCAAGCCAGUAAUUCUAUUGCUGCGUUAUUUCUGUGUUUAACUGUGAAACUUGCUUCUUGUCUGUACCCUUGAAAUGGAAUAAAAUUUCAUGAGACUCCUUGUUAAUGUAGAGAAAA
rnacentral:lncRNA from 1 species